rnacentral:lncRNA from 1 species
UGAGCAUGUUCUAUGAGCUGAGCCAUCUGGUUCUCACCACAACCCAGACGUGGCUGUCAUUCAUAGUGCUAUGAAAUGCAAGGACGUUGUGCCCCAGAAGGGAGCUAAGCAUGAGAUGACCCUUGAGAGGGUCACUGCUUCAGAAGCCCACUCAGGACUUCAUGGCAUGGGACCUAAAGACAGAGAAGGUUCUUCCCUGCCCCAAGAUUCCAGGAGGCUCCCCCAUAGACAUUGUUCCUGUAAGUGCCUGUGUUGGCAGCGACUUCCUGUGGUCUCUGAAUCAUUGUGUUCAGGCUUCAUCACAAUCAGUUUCUGCAAAAACAGUCAUUUCUGCCGUGAAAUCUAUUCAGCGUGGCCAGCGGGGCAGGAACAGAAGAGAAAGGCCAAGUGGGGUCAAUGUGGUGUUUUAUGUGGUAUUGACCCAGCUUGUCUGUGCAGAGGAUGCAGGGAGGGGGACCUGGUGGGAGGGAUUAGGUGGCAUGUGUUGAGCACCUACUAUGUACUGGGCACUGUGCUGGCUUGCUGGCUCUUGGCUUGCUGUAACUCAUUUAAUAUUCAAUGAAACAACUCAAUGAGAGGAGAACCCGUUUUUGUUUGUUUUAACAAAAGAGGAAACAAGUUCAGAGAAGUUAAGCAACUUGUCCAAGUUCAUAUAGCCGCUAAGUCGUGGAUCAAAGAUUCAUGCCCAGCACUUCCUGAUGUCAAAACUUACGCUCUUCCUAGUUCACUGAAAUGAAAGAAGGAGAGAAGAAACCUUU